rnacentral:rRNA from 1 species
GAUGAACGCUGGCGGCGUGCCUAAUACAUGCAAGUCGAGCGAACAGACGAGGAGCUUGCUCCUCUGACGUUAGCGGCGGACGGGUGAGUAACACGUGGAUAACCUCCCUAUAAGACUGGGAUAACUUCGGGAAACCGGAGCUAAUACCGGAUAAUAUAUUGAACCGCAUGGUUCAAUAGUGAAAGACGGUUUUGCUGUCACUUAUAGAUGGAUCCGCGCCGCAUUAGCUAGUUGGUAAGGUAACGGCUUACCAAGGCAACGAUGCGUAGCCGACCUGAGAGGGUGAUCGGCCACACUGGAACUGAGACACGGCCCAGACUCCUACGGGAGGCAGCAGUAGGGAAUCUUCCGCAAUGGGCGAAAGCCUGACGGAGCAACGCCGCGUGAGUGAUGAAGGUCUUCGGAUCGUAAAACUCUGUUAUUAGGGAAGAACAAAUGUGUAAGUAACUAUGCACGUCUUGACGGUACCUAAUCAGAAAGCCACGGCUAACUACGUG